GAUGAAGAACGCAGCGAAAUGCGAUAAGUAAUGUGAAUUGCAGAAUUCAGUGAAUCAUCGAAUCUUUGAACGCACAUUGCGCCCGCCAGUAUUCUGGCGGGCAUGCCUGUUCGAGCGUCAUUACAACCCUCAGGCCCCCGGGCCUGGCGUUGGGGAUCGGCGGAAGCCCCCUGCGGGCACAACGCCGUCCCCCGAAUACAGUGGCGGUCCCGCCGCAGCUUCCAUUGCGUAGUAGCUAACACCUCGCAACUGGAGAGCGGCGCGGCCACGCCGUAAAACACCCAACUUCUGAAUGUUGACCUCGAAUCAGGUAGGAAUACCCGCUGAACUUAAGCAUAUCAAUAAGCGGAGGA
rnacentral:misc_RNA from 1 species